CCUACGGGUGGCAGCAGUGAGGAAUAUUGGUCAAUGGGCGCGAGCCUGAACCAGCCAAGUAGCGUGAAGGAUGACUGCCCUACGGGUUGUAAACUUCUUUUAUAAAGGACUAAAGUGAGGCACGUGUGCCUUUUUGUAUGUACUUUAUGAAUAAGGAUCGGCUAACUCCGUGCCAGCAGCCGCGGUAAUACGGAGGAUCCGAGCGUUAUCCGGUUUUAUUGGGUUUAAAGGGAGAGUAGAGGGGUUGUUAAUCCGUUGUGAAAGUUUGCGGGCCAACCGUAAAAGUGCAAUUGAUACUGGCAGCCUUGAGUACAGUUGAGGUAGGCGGAAUUCGUGGUGUAGCGGUGAAAUGCUUAGAUAUCACGAAGAACUCCGAUUGCGAAGGCAGCUUACUAAACUGCCACUGACAUUGAUGCUCGAAAGUGUGGGUAUCAAACAGGAUUAGAUACCCUUGUAGUC
rnacentral:rRNA from 1 species